CCUACGGGAGGCAGCAGUGGGGAAUAUUGCACAAUGGGGGAAACCCUGAUGCAGCGACGCCGCGUGAGUGAAGAAGUAAUUCGGUAUGUAAAGCUCUAUCAGCAGGGAAGAAAAUGACGGUACCUGAGUAAGAAGCCCCGGCUAACUACGUGCCAGCAGCCGCGGUAAUACGUAGGGGGCAAGCGUUAUCCGGAUUUACUGGGUGUAAAGGGAGCGUAGACGGCAGUGCAAGUCUGGAGUGAAAGGCGGGGGCUCAACCCCCGGACUGCUCUGGAAACUGUGCGGCUGGAGUGCAGGAGAGGUAAGUGGAAUUCCUAGUGUAGCGGUGAAAUGCGUAGAUAUUAGGAGGAACCCCAGUGGCGAAGGCGGCUUACUGGACUGUAACUGACGUUGAGGCUCGAAAGCGUGGGGAGCAAACAGGAUUAGAUACCCCAGUAGUC
rnacentral:rRNA from 1 species